GGAUGAGUAUGGCAAUCUUGAGGUAUGCUUUGACAUUACGAAGCACUCUGCAUAAUAUUUUCCCACCCAACUUGUUAUCUGUGUAUACCAUAUAAGACUAAUAAUGAUAACAUUGCUUUGGAAGUAUUCAUUAUGAAACAUUGAUGAUUUUCCUACCUGGUAUAACAUUUUCAUAAGCGGAAAUUGGGGUCAAUGUGGAAUUUUAGAGUUUUUUUACUAAAUUUACUCCACUGAAAAUAUCAAACAAAACCAAGA
rnacentral:misc_RNA from 1 species